UGUGCUAAGGUAGCAUAAUCACUAGCCUUUUAAUUGAAGGCUUGUAUGAAAGGUAAAACAUUUUAAUUUCUUUUUUAUUUAAAUUUUUUAAAAUUAUAUUAAAUAUAAAAAUAUAUUUAUUCAAUAAAUAGACGACAAGACCCUAUUGAACUUAACUGAAGUUUAGCUGGGGCAGCUAAUUAAUAAAUAUUUUAAUACAAAAUUAUUUAAUAAAUGACCAAAUUAUACUUGAUUACAUGAAUUAAGUUACCAUAGGGAUAACAGCGUAAUUUUUUUUUAAAGUUCAUAUUAAAAAAAAAGAUUGCGACCUCGAUGUUGAAUUAAUGUAACAAAUAAUACGCAAUAGUAUAUAUUGUAGGUCUGUUCGACCUUUAAAACAUUACAUGAUYUGAGUUCAAAUCGGCGUAAGCCAGAUUGGUUUCUAUCUUUUUUUAAUUAUUUGCUCAGUACGAAAGGACCAACAAAUUUAUUAUCAAU
rnacentral:rRNA from 1 species